rnacentral:rRNA from 1 species
AAUAGCCUAACGGCUGAACCUGCAACUUGGAGGAAUGUAUAGCGAAAGCUAAUUGUAUUAACCAACAGUUGAUGCAAUAUCGACUAUGUCGACUAAAAUUCUAGGUAGAGUAAUGAUAAUGACAUUUUUUACCUAUAGGUCUUGACCAAAUCACGUGCCAGCAGUCGCGGUAAUACGUGGAAGACUAGUGUUAUUCAUAUUUAAUAGGUUUAAAGGGUACCUAGACGGUAUAUCUAGCCCAAAAAGGGUACUGGUAAACUAGAGUUUAAUGUGAGGGGGGGAGUACUAAUGGAGUAGAGAUGAAAUUCUGUCAUACCAAGAGGUAACAGGUAUCGGCGAAAGCAACCCUUUAUGCAAAAACU